AUCUUUUAAUUACUUUAUUCAAGUAAAAUACAUGUUAUUUUCAAAAGUGUGGGGUUUUAAAUACGCGCAAGCCAGGCUUGCUUAGAUUCAAUAAUGAUCCUUCCGCAGGUUCACCUACGGAAA
rnacentral:misc_RNA from 1 species